GACAGAGGAUGCAAGCGUUAUCCGGAAUUAUUGGGCGUAAAGAGUGUGUAGGCGGUGCUCUAAGUUCGGUGUGAAAUCUCCCGGCUUAACUGGGAGGGUGCGCCGGAAACUGGAGUGCUUGAGCGCGGGAGAGGAAAGCGGAAUUCCUGGUGUAGCGGUGAAAUGCGUAGAUAUCAGGAGGAACACCUGUGGUGUAGACGGCUUUCUGGACCGUAGCUGACGCUGAGACACGAAAGCGUGGGUAGCAAACAGG
rnacentral:rRNA from 1 species